UACGUAGGGGGCUAGCGUUGUCCGGAAUCAUUGGGCGUAAAGCGCGUGUAGGCGGCUUGACAAGUCUGCUGUGAAAGUCCAGGGCUCAACCCUGGAAUGCCGGUGGAAACUGUCAAGCUAGAGUCCGGAAGAGGCGAGUGGAAUUCCUGGUGUAGCGGUGAAAUGCGCAGAUAUAGGAGGAACACCAACGGCGAAGGCAGCUC
rnacentral:rRNA from 1 species